rnacentral:rRNA from 1 species
UACAGAGGUCCCAAGCGUUGUUCGGAUUCACUGGGCGUAAAGGGUGCGUAGGUGGCGGAGGAAGUCUGAUGUGAAAUCCCCGGGCUCAACCCGGGAACUGCAUUGGAUACUCUUUCGCUUGAGGGUCGGAGGGGAGACUGGAAUUCUUGGUGUAGCAGUGAAAUGCGUAGAUAUCAAGAGGAACACCAGUGGCGAAGGCGAGUCUCUGGACGAUACCUGACACUGAGGCACGAAAGCUAGGGGAGCAAACAGG